rnacentral:RNase_P_RNA from 1 species
AGAGUCGGCCGGAUAGUCGCUGCCGGGAUGCAUAGAUGCCUCCCGGUAGAGGAAAGUCCGGGCUCUACAGGACAGGGUGCCAGGUAACACCUGGGGGGCGUGAGCCUACGGAAAGUGCCGCAGAAAAGAUACCGCCCGGACGUCGUCCGGGUAAGGGUGAAAUGGUGCGGUAAGAGCGCACCGCGCCUCUGGCAACAGAGGUGGCAGGGUAAACCCCACCCGGAGCAAGACCAAAUAGGGGAGCGUGCGACUUCGGUCGCAACCUGUGGUCCGCAGGGUUCCCGGGUAGGUUGCUAGAGAUCUGUGGUGACACAGAUUCCAGAUGAAUGACUAUUCUCGACAGAACCCGGCUUACAGGCCGGCUCUCCAC